rnacentral:rRNA from 1 species
AACGAACGCUGGCGGCAUGCCUAACACAUGCAAGUCGAACGAGACCUUCGGGUCUAGUGGCGCACGGGUGCGUAACGCGUGGGAACCUGCCUUUAGGUUCGGAAUAACUCAGAGAAAUUUGAGCUAAUACCGGAUAAUGUCUUCGGACCAAAGAUUUAUCGCCUUUAGAUGGGCCCGCGUUGGAUUAGCUAGUUGGUGGGGUAAAGCCUACCAAGGCGACGAUCCAUAGCUGGUCUGAGAGGAUGAUCAGCCACACUGGGACUGAGACACGGCCCAGACUCCUACGGAGGCAGCAGUGGGGAAUAUUGGACAAUGGGCGAAAGCCUGAUCCAGCAAUGCCGCGUGAGUGAUGAAGGCCUUAGGGUUGUAAAGCUCUUUUACCCGAGAUGAUAAUGACAGUAUCGGAGAAUAAGCUACCGGCUAACUCCGUGCCAGCAGCCGCGGUAAAGUGUGACUG